rnacentral:rRNA from 1 species
UGCCAGCAGCCGCGGUAAUACGAAGGGGGCUAGCGUUGUUCGGAAUCACUGGGCGUAAAGCGUAUGUAGGCGGAUCAAAAAGUUAGAUGUGAUAUCCCUGGGCUCAACCCAGGAACUGCAUUUAAAACUAAUGAUCUAGAAUUUGGUAAAGGUUAGUAGAAUUUCCAGUGUAGAGGUGAAAUUCGUAGACAUUGGAAAGAAUACCAGAAGCGAAGGCGACUAACUAGGCCAUUUUUGACGCCGAGAUACGAAAGCGUGGGUAGCAAGCAGGAUUAGAUA